UGGUAGGCAGACGGUUGGUAGGCAGACGGUUGGUAGGCAGACGGUUGGUAGGCAGGUUCUACAAUGGUAGGCAGACGGUUGGUAGGCAGACGGUUGGUAGGCAGACGGUUGGUAGGCAGACGGUUGGUAGGCAGGUUCUACAAUGGUAGGCAGACGGUUGGUAGGCAGGUUCUACAAUGGUAGGCAGACGGUUGGUAGGCAGGUUCUGCAAAAGGCAUCCUGUAACUCAUAUAGCCUCCACAGUCCCCCUUGCGUGACUUUCCCUAGCAACAACAUUUUAAUAAAUCUAUCCUCCCCCUGACAAGUCUCAAGUCCAUAAUAUGCUCUUCACCAAAUAUAAUACCAUUUAAUAUUUUUCACAAGAGUAAUAGUUAGUAUAUUACAUUUCUGCAAAU
ensembl:lncRNA